GAGGUUGCAGUCAAGGAAUGCACUGAAACUAAGCUUCAAGCAAUGCAUGACAACUCCUAUCCAAAACUCCAGACCUUUCUCAUGGGAGGAAGAGGAGAGAGGAGAAGAUGGCGGCGUGACGCAGCUCGCAACAGCCACUCUGGUGGUGAUGUCUGUUAUUUGUCAAGUAGGGUGCCGUGCACAAUCCUGAUUUGAUGGAGACGGAUGUGAGAGCACGGAGGGACAUGUGGUGAAACUUCUGAAAUGCCUGCUUCGCUGCUGCUGCUACUGUGUGAUCCAGAAUCUCCGGAGAAGUCCCCGAGUCCUCGGCUUUGCUUGUUGCUCGGUGGCCGGGGCGGGGUCAAAGCGCUUGGCAGAGAGGCUGUGUUGGAAGGGCUGGUCAGAGGCUCGAAGUUUUCGGACGGACUCAGAGUCUGCUGCGGUCGGGUGCUUCCAAUGGUGCGGAAUUGGCAAGUUGGCGGCACUUGGAGGUUCAUGGCAGGGGGAGUUUCUCCCUCCUGCUGCCUGCAUGAGAUGAUGAGUCUAUCGGGACUGUGAAACUUUUUUUUACUGUGCCCAUGUUCUGGUGAAAGAUUGUUGACCGGGAAACUGCAAGAGAAGCAGCUCGAAAUCUUACCUCCAGUAAACUAGCACACCCACAAGAAGAAUUAAGCAGACAAAUGUCAAUGCGGAGACAACCACCAAUGGAAUUAUCCAUUCCAUCUUACUGGACGGUGAGUAUGGUUGUGUGGCCAUACUGGAGGAGGACCUAUCUUCUGCAUAAAAAUAAAAAGAGGAAGAAAAUGAAAAUUAGUAUUGGAGAGUAAAGAUGGGAACCUGAAGGAGUCGUUUGGCGGUAUUGGAGAGGAUCAACCAUUAUUGAAUUCAUUCAAGAAAGAGUGAUCUGCAUGAGAUAACCUCUGCUAAAGCAGAAAACGUUGUGCAGCGUCUUUUCUACAGAGGAAAAGGUCAGUUCCUUUAAACCAUUUUAUUUCCGUCGUCGUGAAUCCUGCAGACAAGACGGGUUCCGGCUGGGAUCAGCAGUAACGACACGUCUUCGAGGAAUUCUUUACUUCAGGGAAGUCUCUCCUAAUUGACUGUACAAAUCUCUUUGACUUUCAAAUUUACCAUUCUAAGAACUGUGUUCUAAUUUACCACUUCAAGACUGUGUUCGCAUUUACCGCUUUAAGAACUAGUACUGAGUUUGGCGGUUUGUUAAAUGGCCACAUAGCAGUUUACUUCCAGUUAAGGUUUUCAUUGGUUUAUCUUUUUACUAAUAUUGAGCAGAGUUUAAUAAAUGUUUAUUUGUUUAUAAAGCCUGACUCAUUUCUGUAUUCAUUGUUGCCGGUCACGUGACACAAUAAAAAGAAAUUAGGUUUAAGUGGAGUGGGCCAAUGGUAGGGUAGGGAGUUGAGGCUUUGGGAAUUGGAGGCAAGGACUGUAGGCAAAUUUUUUAUUUGUUAUUUAUUCUUUCUUUCUUAUAGCACUUUUAGAGCAGUGGGAUACCAGGCAGGAUAGUGGAACACUCCCCUUGCACGAUGUGGGAAGGCAGGCCAGUGUCCCUGAUGACAACACCUGCAAAAAGUGCAUGCAGCUGUAGCUACUAAUGGACCAUGUUAAGGAAGUAGAGCUGGAACUGGAUGAAUUUUGGAUUAUUCGGAAGGCUGAUAGGCUAAUAGACAGGAAUGACAUACAGGGAGGUACUUAUACCCA